rnacentral:rRNA from 1 species
AUUGAACGCUGGCGGCAUGCCUUACACAUGCAAGUCGAACGGUAACAGGUCUUCGGAUGCUGACGAGUGGCGAACGGGCGAGUAAUACAUCGGAACGUGCCUAGUAGUGGGGGAUAACUACUCGAAAGAGUGGCUAAUACCGCAUGAGAUCUACGGAUGAAAGCAGGGGAUCGCAAGACCUUGUGCUACUAGAGCGGCCGAUGGCAGAUUAGGUAGUUGGUGGGAUAAAAGCUUACCAAGCCGACGGUCUGUAGCUGGUCUGAGAGGACGUUCAGCCACACUGGGACUGAGACACGGCCCAGACUCCUACGGGAGGCAGCGUUGUGGAAUUUUGGACCAUGGGCGCAAGCCUGAUCCAGCAAUGCCGCGUGCAGGAUGAAGGCCUUCGGGUUGUAAACUGCUUUUGUACGGAACGAAAAGCCCUGGGUUAAUACCCUGGGGUCAUGACGGUACCGUAAGAAUAAGCACCGGCUAACUACGUGCCAGCCGCCGCCGUAA